GUAUGUCAGCUGGAUCAGCAAGAGAGAGCAGCUAGAGAAGGAGGGGAGGGGAGGGCGUAUGUCAGCUGGAUCAGCAAGUGAGAGCAGCUAGAGAGGGAGCCACAGCACAGUGAAAGAGUGUGUGUGUAUGAGCCUGCCUUCCUGCUUGCUUGCCUGACUGACUGUGUGUGUGUGUGUGUGUGUGUGUGUGUGUGUGUGUGUGUGUGUGUGUGUGUGUGUGUGUGUGUGUGAGAGCGAGAGAGAGGGAGAGGGAGAGUCAGGGAGCUUGUGGAUACUACUCCACCAGACUGCAUGUCUCUGGCAUCACUAGGGGAGCAGUCCACACAUUACAGAGACAGCCUAUACCAGGCCUAGCUGAGAAUCUUUAUCAUGGCGUCCAACAACACAGCAAGCAUCGCCCAGGCCAGGAAACUGGUAGAGCAGCUGAAGAUGGAGGCAAACAUUGACAGGAUAAAGCAGCAGCAGACUUAAUGUCGUACUGCGAAGCCCAUGCCAAAGAGGACCCGCUCCUGUCGCCGGUGCCCGCAUCCGAAAACCCUUUUAGGGAGAAGAAGUUCUUCUGUGCCAUCCUGUAAACGGGGUGUGGUAAAUUUGGUCUGACAGGAAGUCUGCUCAUCUUGGGACAUUGAACGAGGACGUUCAAUAUGUAGACAUCUUCUAACAGAAGGGCAUGGAGGAGUAGUACUGUCUCUUUCUCUACAAUGGAAGCUAAAGCAGGCAUUUAAAAACCACAGAGUAAGACGUAACCAUUUACAGCGGUCUGAUCUGACCUGAUCUGAGGGCUGUUGUUGAGGGCUGUGCAGCAUGUUUGAUGGAUCCAUCCGUGUAGUCAGAGGACAACCGAAGAUAGUAUGGUUAUCCACCCAGAAACAUGAUGGACAACCAAUCAACCAAGUCUUCAGGUUGUGUUUAAAAUAAAAAAAGAAUGAAGGAAAAAAACUAAACAAAAAAUAUUUUGUGGUUCUUUUGGAACAUGAAAUCCAAGUGUUACGUUAAAUGGUGGGUUGGGUUGGGUAGGGUAGAUGAGCUGCUUACCACCAGAUACUAACGGCUGUUUAUCGGAAUGUUUUUAUUUUUGCUGUUUAUUUUAUGCAGAUUUUGAUUCUGAGAUUAAUUGGUUUGGCUAAAUCACUUAGACAACUUUCUAUACUGUAUGUGAUUACUGAAACAGCUAUUUUAACUUUCUUCUUUUUUUUUUACAUCGUUAGAGUUGGUGAAAGCUGUUGUAAUGGAAAGUUUGGACGUUCAAUUAAGUGAUUUUCUUUACAGACAUGUUUCUUUAAACUUCUUCUGAGAGAAGUAUACAACAUAUAUAUCUGGCAAUGUGGUACAGUAUGUGUUUCCUUCAAAUACAAGCUCUCUUUUUACUAUUUGUAUAAAAAUAUUAGCAAGUAAACUGUGUUGUGCUGUGCGUUCUGAAUGUUUGUGUUUAUCAUUAAUAAUUGCAUGAAAUUAACUAUUUUUUAAUUUUAUUUUUAAUGUGGGGAUUGUAUGAACGAGGCAGCCUCCAUCUGGCAGUGCCAACUGUAUUAAAAGGAUAACAAUGACUCAAAAUGGACUCCAUAAGGACAUCUUUGUCAUAGGAAAAAUGAAAGGGAC
rnacentral:lncRNA from 1 species